GGAGAAAACGAGCAUUAAGCAUACUAAUCUAACAGAGAUCCGGCCGUGACAACACCUGCAUCAGCAUACGCUGGUGAUCCCACAGGUACCUCGGAAGACAAACACAGGCAUGACCCCGCUCCUGCUCCCGGCUCCGUACUGAGCGUACUCUGCCGCUCCCCCUUGCUUUUGGCAGCGGAGCGGGCCGAGGAAGGAAGCCUUCCCCGCAACCUGCUCGCAGGGCACGGCCAGCACUUCACCUCCAGAGCAGAUCCUCCCGCUCUCACCUGCUGUGUCUUUGCGCGGCUCCUGAGAAAACCGAAUUCGUGACCCAGGACAACCCAGUGCAGGUCUUUAGUCCCCUCUAGCGGCUGAAUUGCUUUCCGCUGAUCCGAGCUGCUGCGGCUGCCAUGGCGUUAACUCCUACCGGCCUUUCAGCUGGAGACCGCACCUUUAACUCCUACACAGCUUAUUCCUACGGACGAACCAUCCAAGAAAUAAUUUUCCCUUCUUUUAUUAUUAACUGGCUCAUAGGGUGCCGACAAAGGCUCCUCACAGACACCAUCUCUGGAGCAUGACUGAAAAGAGAUGCGGCAUCGCUGCCCAGGGUUGACACUUAAUCUAGGCAAUUCACCUUCUGUCAAGCAAUGUGCUACCCACGGAUGAACUAUCUUACAAAAUUAGACAACUAUUGGUAUAAUUAUCAAGAAGUGAGGAAGCAUUCCAGGACCUACACAUUUCUCUCCAGCCAUCCAGCACUAUUAGGUGGAAGACCUUGAGGAGACUUAUCAAAGUGGGAAGGAUUCAGCACGAGACAUGCUAUUUUUCUAGUAAAAGAGAAUACAGCCUUCCCUCACUUUUCUUUCAGCCACUGGAGACUUCAAUUCUGCAGCUGGAUCCCAGCCAGACUACGAGGCACUGUGAAAAGCAGUGUUGAUUUCGUUGAGGCUCCACACUGAAGCAAGUGGCACGGACUAAUCUUGGGAUUUCUAUCAUUGCAAGUCAUGCAGUAAAUGGGCUUUCUACUCAGCUUACUUCUAGAAGUUAGGAAAUUAUAUGAGAACCUCAGAUUCCUCCUAGUUCUGACCCUACAAGCCAUAGAGAAAGGUUCGAAAGAAAAACUCCUUAAGACUAAAGAAAUAGAAACAGAAUGAAGCAGUGCUGCUCUUCAGAAAAAUAGACAUUUAAUUUUGGUUCAUAUCAUUUUAAUUUUAUUUUAGAGAGCUGUUGUAGAUGCAUGAUCGGAAUUAUCAAUACUAAAUACAGGGCCUGUUUUAUGGCCAGCAUGAAGCUUGAACCAGAGAAAUCACUGGCAGAGAAAAGGGGGAAGAAAUUACUUCUGAGUUAGAUGCACAUGUUCUCAAACACCUUAAAAAGAAAAAGGAAAUUCCAGAAUAUAAUAUGUACUUAUUCUCUUUCUGUGUAACUCACAUAUUGCCACCACUGCCCUUCCUAGCAGUGUGAGGAGGAAUCCUCCUUCAGGUGCAUGCAUAGCUCUCAUUUAGUCCUCAGUAAGCAGAUUCAUUAUGGAGGAAGGUGGGCAAUCUACAGCAUCCCUGGGACUCCUCUUUCCAAGAAGGCUAAAGAUGCUGUGUCUGCAUGGAAAAUAACAACACAGCAGUUUCCAUGUGGCCAUAUAGUUCUUCUCCGCUCUCAGCCUCUGGUGGGAUUUUUCUAUUUUACACAUUGUUCAGAACUCCCUACAGUGAUUUCUAAAGUUCUAUAGUUGUGUGACGUGCUCAUACAAAUGACUAUUCCUCUGUCUUUGCUUUCCCAGAUACUCGUCCAGUCUUACUUAUAGUGGAAACACUAGUACUGAAAUAUCUGCAUGGAAGGAAUAGAACUCUUUAGGUCCAGUGAAGUUAAUCUUUUAACA
ensembl:lncRNA